AGGAUAAACGCUGGCGGCGUGCCUAACACAUGCAAGUCGAACGCGCUUUCGUCUUCGGAGGAGAGCGAGUGGCGGACGGGUGAGUAACACAUGGGUACCUACCCCACAGUGAGGGAUACCGGCGAGAAAUCGCCGACAAUACCGCAUACGCUUCUCUUUGGUAGACGAGGAGAAGCAAAGUUAGCGCAAGCGACGCUGUGGGAUGGGCCUGUGGCCGAUUAGCUAGUUGGUGGGGUAAGAGCCUACCAAGGCGACGAUCGGUAGCUGGUCUGAGAGGACGAUCAGCCACACUGGGAUUGAGAACGGCCCAGACUCCUACGGGGGGCGAGCAGUGAGGAAUUUUCCGCAAUGGACGCAAGUCUGACGGAGCAACGCCGCGUGCAGGAUGAAGGUUUUCGGAUCGUAAACUGCUUUUCUCGGGGACGAGCAAGGACGGUACCCGAGGAAGAACGCCCCGGCUAACUACGUGCCAGCAGCCGC
rnacentral:rRNA from 1 species